UAAUGCCCACAAUAAUUCAGAAAUGUCAACAAAUAGAUAUUGUCUCCCCAUCAGCAUAUUGUUCGGUUGUUCUGUGACAUGGGCAGCCUUGAAGGUGGCAUUAAAACAAUACUGUUUACAUGGAGGCAACUUAGCCGGCAAGGCGAGUUACUUGCCCAGGCGGGACAAACAAGCGCUCUGUUUAUAUGGAACCGUGUUACUCAGCAUUUGUCGCAUGAUUGCCGCAUGAAGCCGAAAUGGUGCCAAAACAGAAAAAGGAUUUAAGUCGUUUGAAGUGCUAAAAACAUUACAAAAUAUAGUGAAAGUACAAGAAUAAGUGCCGAGCAAUUCAGGAAAACUUAUCUAUCGAUUCAUAUGUAUUUUUGAGCUAUUAUAUUUCACCGAAUGGCAAAGCACGUACAUUCUAUCUCGGGCGGCCGAGUUACCCGGGCAAAGUGUUUACAUGGAAAAUAUUCAUCUGGCCUAGGCGUGAUCCCGCCUAUUUUUGCCAGGAUCUCGCCAACGCGAGUUACUCGGCUGCAUCAUGUAAACAGUUACCCGGGAUUACUAUUAGUUUCUAUAACAGUCGGGAUCUCACCGUUGCCGAGUAUAUAAACAUUGUACAGUAUUCAGUGGCAAGGUAGCCAUGGCAACUGGCCAUAUGCAUGCUAUACUGAUAAACCUGCAUCUAUUUGAAUAAUGCAAAUCAAUAAAAAUUUGCAUAGCAUGACCUGUUGCUAUGGCUAGCUUCACCACUGACACUAUUAUAAUUAUACAACAGCAAGACGUUAUAAGCAUUGAAGAUAUUCAUAUAAAAGCGCCCAUGCCAAGAAAGCAGAAUUAGAACAUUUAGAACUUUCAGCCGCCCUUCGACUUUGUGCAAGAUGUUUGAUAUUCAAAUUGGACUUUUCCUACCUCCUGAACAGGCGUCUUAAGGGCUGUUUGCAUGAUGCAAAAAGGGAUGAUUUUGAUGUAUUAAAAUAUUAGUCACUAGGCUAAACGAAAAUUCAAACGCUCAAAUGUAGAGAAGUAGUUCAAAUGUAGAGAAGAUCUUGUGGUUCAAGAAGGUUAUAUUAUGCUUGAACAGGCAACCUUUCGUUUACAGUUAAAUAUACCUUAAUCCAUCUCUAGAAAAUAGUGAAACUUUUUGCUGAAUCAUGCAUUGUGACUUAUUUAAGCACAUCAAAAUCAUCCUGCCUCAUAUCUGCUGGCAAAGCGGGAUCAUAUAAACAGCCCCUUAUUCAGCAAAUUGUGCAUGCUGCCUUUAAUCCCUUGGGGUGAGGCAGCAUUUUCCUUGCGAUAGUAACUUCUAGUA